rnacentral:rRNA from 1 species
UACGGGGGGGGCAAGCGUUGUUCGGAAUUACUGGGCGUAAAGGGCGCGUAGGCGGCCUGCUAAGUCGGACGUGAAAUCCCUCGGCUCAACCGGGGAACUGCGUCCGAUACUGGUGGACUCGAAUCCGGGAGAGGGAUGUGGAAUUCCAGGUGUAGCGGUGAAAUGCGUAGAUAUCUGGAGGAACACCGGUGGCGAAGGCGGCAUCCUGGACCGGUAUUGACGCUGAUGCGCGAAAGCCAGGGGAGCAAACGGG